UCAAAAAGUAGCAAUCCUCUUUGGUAUGCUGUACGGCGAGCAUCUGCUCACAUCAUUGUCCUCUCCAGCUAUUCUUCUUAUGUAAAAUAUACUCCUCAAUGGAGAUGGCUUAGAGAAGAGUUGAAAAGGGUAGACAGGGAGAAGACACCUUGGCUUAUUGUUCUCAUGCAUGUGCCUAUCUACAAUAGUAACUUAGCCCACUAUAUGGAAGGUGAAAGUAUGCGUUCUGUGUUUGAGAGCUGGUUUGUCUGCUUCAAAGUUGACCUCGUUUUUGCAGGCCAUGUCCAUGCCUAUGAAAGAUCAUAUCGUAUCUCAAACAUACACUAUAAUGUGUCAAGCGGUGACCGAUAUCCUAUACCUGACAAAUCAGCGCCAGUGUACAUAACUGUUGGAGAUGGUGGAAAUCAGGAAGGUCUUGCUGGAAGGUUUUGGGACCCACAACCAGAAUAUUCUGCCUUCCGUGAGGCCAGUUAUGGUCAUUCUAGCUUGGAGAUUAGGAAUAGAACCCAUGCAUUCUACCACUGGAACCGAAAUGAUGAUGGCAGAAAAGUACCGACUGAUUCAGUAAUAUUCCACAACCAAUACUGGGCAAGCAAUCUGCACAGAAGGAGACAUCUUAAGGUUGGAGGACAUGCUGGUUGCUGAAAGUAGUUGAACGGAAAACUGAUUUAUUCUUAUAUGCUGUCUUGUGCAUAUUGGGACUGGUGAAUAUUUUGCAAUCUUGGUAUUCACCAAUCCAUGUGGACAGAUUGGAAGGUUUGGUCGGCUUGGACAGUUCAGUCAGAGAAACAUUUUAGCCAUCUGCAGGUUGCAGCCUUGCAGGAAACAACUAUCAUGUAUUUCCCAGCUACAGACUUUUCACACAGCAUAGAAAAGAAUGUCAAAAUCUUAGACGCUUAUCUGUAUCAUAUUGUUGUUAUAAUAUUUUGCACUCUAUUGUACUUAAUAUAAUAUGCUGCACUUUAUUUUAGUAUUUUUUUUAUUUUUU
rnacentral:misc_RNA from 1 species